rnacentral:ribozyme from 1 species
AGCCUCCGAGCCAGUGACCCUUCCCAGACCGCCGACCACUCAAGAGCAAUGGCCCGGGCGACCAUCCU